rnacentral:tRNA from 1 species
GGGCUGUAGCUCAGUGGUAGAGCACUUGCCUAGCAUGUGUGAGGCACUGGGUUUGAUCCUCAGUACCCCA